AUUCGGGGCGCCAUUGGUCUGCGGGGCGCGGUGCUUCCCGGGAGAUGUAGUCUCUUCUGCUCUGGCUCUGUUGCCCAGGGCAACCGCGCCCUCAGGCCUGAAUGUGGCGGCUGCCUCUGCGAAUGGACGGCGUGGGAGGAGAAUGGCUUCUGCAAGGAAAGCCAGCCGUCCCACGCGUGAUGUUUUUGGUGACUUCAGUGAUGUUUCCUUGGAAGAUUCAACAAUGGAAGAAAUCAGAAACUUCCAGAUCAGUAGAAAUCUUACCAAAAUAGCACCUGGUCAUAGCAGAUUUCUAAAAAGAAACCAAACUCUAGAUGAGAAACACUUACUCCUGAAAGAGAACCCUGUGCUGGGGAGUGGACCCAGGCUUGCCUCAUGUAGACCGCCCACCACUGCCUCCAGGAUCCGAGCCAAUGCCGCACUCAUGAAGCUGGCCCAGCUGGAAACCCGGAUCAUGAAUCGGAAGCUGCAGAGGAAUUUGUCUGACACGGAAUCUGACUCAAUGACCGCCGAUGCCGGUCUUCCAAAGAGAGCUGACAGAAUCCUCUCCGGGGGUGCACUCGAACUCGCGUCCCAGAACACAGACAAAACUUCCCAGAAUCAAGCCCGUGAACUUCCUGUCACCGAAAAUAAUGCACAGAACGCGAAGGUCAGUAGGUUUCUAAAGAAGAAACAAGCACCUGUUGAAAACAUAUCCCGUGAAGCACCUGCUGGGAAAGAGAGGACUUUGCAAACCCCCAAACAGAAAGAACCUGCUAGAACAUUUGAUUCUCCAGACAGUGACGAAGAAGAAAUGAAAGUAUUGCUAGGAAGCUUGGUGGACUCUUCUAGAGAAAAAAACACGAAUCAAGGCUUCAGCAGCGCUAACGUCAGCGAGGAAGAAGAAAGAAAACUAUUUUCGGUCCCAUCUCAACCGAGAGCAUUUACUGUACCCAGCGUGGAACUCUCCAGCGCAAAGCCUUCUCAGACAUCACACCUGCCAACCUCCCUGGCAGCAGACAGAACCCUUCACAGCACUCGCUCAAGAGCAGACUACCCACAGAGUCACGUUUCCGGUGGCACCGCCUCCCACAUGCCGUCAGUUUCCAUCACAGGCGCCUUUUCAAACUCAGUGUCUUUAAAGAUGGGGCAUGUCAAGCUUGCAUCCUCCCCGGGAAGGAGUGAGGCUGAGCCUGUGGACGAGCCAGUCUCAGAAGGUGCUGAUGACAGCCUCGACGAGUUUAGAAUAAAUAUUUUAUCGCUUGACCAUCUGGCUCCAGUUGUCAGUGAGAACUCUGAUUUGGAACAGGAAGAGGAAAGUGCUCUGAGAGAAAAAACAGCUGGCAAAAUCUUCAGAGCCGAGGCGUCCACUGGGCAGGAUGCCCCGAGGCAGGCCCAGGCGAGGAGUUGGGCAUCACAGGGAAAGGCCGCCUCUGCAGAGGGGGAUGAGAGCGAGGUCUCGGAGCAUCUCAGUGCCAGCUCGGCUUCUGCCAUCCAGCAGGAUAGCACUUCCAGCAUGCAGCCACCAUCUGAAGCCCCCAUGGUGAACACAGUCAGCUCAGCUUAUUCGGAGGAUUUUGAAAACUCUCCAAGUCUGACAGCAUCCGAGCCAACCGCCCAUUCCAAGGAGUCUCUUGACAGAACACUGGACGCUUUGUCUGAAUCCUCUUCAAGUGUGAAGACAGACCUUCCACAAACAGCCGAGUCUAGGGAAAAGUCGGGCAGGCAGGUGACAAGAGUGCUUGUGAAGGACACAGCUGUGCAGACGCCAGAUCCCGCCUUCACCUACGAGUGGACCAAGGUGGCCGGCAUGGCAGCCAUGGGGCCUGCCCUGGGAGGCGCCUACGUGGACCCGACACCCAUCGCCAAUCAUGUUAUCAGAGCGGAUGCAAUAGAAGCCCUGACCGCCUACAGCCCGGCCGUGCUGGUGCUCCAUGAUGUGCUGAAGCAGCAGCUGAGCCUGACGCAGCAGUUCAUCCAGGCCAGCCGGCACCUGCACGCCUCCCUCCUGCGCUCCCUGGACGCGGACUCCUUCCACUACCACACCCUGGAGGAAGCCAAAGAGCCCCGUGUGCCAACCUGUCACACACAUCCUGUGGUUUUACACUUCUGUCACCCCGACAGGAGCCUGCUGGGGACAGGUGCCGGCUCCUCCCUCCUCCAGCACCCCGUCUCAGAGUGUACUAAGGUGACGAUGGUGAUGGCGUGGUCUGUCCUCUGCCUGACAGUACAUUAGGUGCCACAGACCUGCCCCACUGUCCAUGGAGGACGCCCUGGAGGAGGUGAACAAGGAGCUGUGAGCGCCAGCAGGUGGAGCUUGACGUGACGUCUAACAAAAGCAAAGCACCGCAGCUUCCCAGAGUUACCAGCGCAGCACUUAAGACAGGAUCUUACGGCGGGGUGGGGCUCCUGGACCGUGACCGGCGUCUUCUUCCUGGGGAGUACGACUUGGACCGGGACCGCGACUGGGACCGGGAGCGGCUUCUGGAGGAGCGCGACCUGCUCCGACUUCUGCAGGGAAGGGUGCCCAACGGUCAGCAGCAGCCAGGCGUCGUGGGGAGGCCACAGGAAGAGGCCUCAGGCACUGCCCUGAGGCAGCCUCUGCCUACCUAGAUCUGGAGCGGGAGUAGGAACGGGAGCAGGAGCGCGACCUUGACCUUGAGUACGAGCCUGAAGACUUGGAGGAUCUUGAGUUGGAGCGGGAGGAAGAACGCCCUCGACUCUUGGAUCUGCUCCGAGACCUCGAGGGUCCGCUGCGGGGAGAGGCCUGAUGAUCAGGUGCCCCAGUGGAUGGGCUGCACCCAGCCCACCCUGGCCCUCAGGUUCCUAGACCACCCCAGAUGCAGGGGCUCUGGCUGUGGAUGUGGCGCCAUAGCCACAGCAACGGUAUCAAGUUCCUAAAUAGUGUGGCCGAGCCUGCUGCUGUGUGAAUUCAGGCCUUGUGGAAAACACCGCCCCGUAGGCACAGGCUGUGUGAGGGCGGACGUGAUGAGCGUAUCUGGGGUCUGCUCCCACCCAUCACAAGCUGUGGACCCUGGCCCCCCAGCCACUGCAGACAUCUGCGCUUUUACCUGUUCCUCUUCUCCUGGCCUUUCCGCCGCCGGGCCCGCAUUUUUGCUCGGAAGAACUCAUAGAGGCCGUUCUGCUCCCAGCCUUCACUGUAAGACACGGCAUUCCGUGUGUGACCACGUGACACCCACCCACAAGGAACUCGUGAAAAAGUCAUCAGGAGUUAAUCCACAGAACCUCGGAGAGUACAUGGCCCUGUGGCUGUGGGCUCCGAGCAUGGGUGCAGUAGAGCUUGGUUCAGUGUUCCCACAGGGCUGUCCUCCUGCAGCCCAGUGGCUCCUCUGGUGCCCACGCCCUUGCCACCCUGCUGUUCCGCUGAGGUGGUGGGGACCCAUGGUCUGUGGAACUGGGAAACAGGAACACUGACUCAUGGGUGGACAGGCCUGCAGCCCAGCACAGGAAGGAGGUGUGACCACUGGGAAGGGUGGGCUGAGGGCCCUGUGGCAGCCGGCUGCUUGAGACGUGCCACCGUGCCACACCUUCCCUAAGUUCUUCUGAUGUGUCUCCAUUAAAACGCCCUUCAUUGAGG